GGAGAAUUGUCCGAGCGGCCGAAGGAGCAUGAUUGGAAAUCAUGUAUAUGGAUUAUAUCUGUAUCAAGGGUUCGAAUCCCUUAUUCUCCG
rnacentral:tRNA from 1 species